ACCUGGGUGGCUCAGACGGUUAAGCAUCUGACUUCAACUCAGGUCAUGAUCUAUUGGUUUGUGAGUUUGAGCCCCACCUCGGGCU
rnacentral:tRNA from 1 species